UCCUAGCGACUAGAGCGGCAGAGAUCAGGAACCGCAGAAGUUGGAGACUUGGCACCCCAGCGAGAGCCACCAUGGGGGACCAGAGGCCGCAGGACUGGCUGAUGUCCCCAGGCAUGGACUCCAAGCCCCGGUACUGUAACCAUCCGCCUUCCAAGCGCUUCGCGAAGGGCAAGCACGGGCGCCUGAGGUUCCCAUCCAUGGACACCCAGAACUGGGUAUUUGUGAGGGAGGGCAUGGACGACUUCCGCUACAGCUGUCCAUCUCCCGAAGACACGCUCGUUUGUCACCGUGACGAGUUUUUACUCCCCAAAAUAUCUGUCAGAGGUCCCCAAGCAGACCCCAAACGACGGCAGAAAAAGCUGCUCAAGAAAGCGGCGCUAUUUUCCAAGCUCUCUCCAGCGCAGCUAGCACAGAAGGCGUUUGUAGAGCAAGUGGAAGCCGAGCUCAUGGCCAAGCAUCCCUUGGCCAUGUACCCCAAUCUGGGAGAAGAUCUGCCUCCAGAUCUCCUACUACAGGUGCUGCAACAGCUGGAUCCUGAGAGGAAGCUGGAGGACGCUUGGGCUCCUUGUGAGGCCCGGGAGAAGAAAACCGAGGUACCCACUGAGCCUGCUCAAUAUCCCCGUGGGGAGUUCUGCCCGCCGCCUUUCGAGACUGGCAUGUCCCAUCUCCACCCAGUGCCUCCCAAGACUCCGGUGUCCAGUCUCCGCCCGGAGCCUCCAGAGACUGGAGUGACCCAUCGUCUCCACCCGCAGCCUCCCAAGACUCGUCCGGGGUCCAGUCUCCACCAGGAGCCUUCCGAGACUGGAGUGACCCAUCUGCGCCCGGAGCCUGCAGACCUGGGAGUUGAUGAAGAAACAAUCUGGAAUCUGUUUGACUUCACCACCGAGUACAGAGCAACCCAUGACGACCAAAAGAUUAAGAAGGUAAACGAGUGCUCCUCAGAGCUGAAGUACAGCGUGGAGCUAGAUGAAAAGGAUGAGGACAAAUUCUUCUCACAGGAAAAAUACUGGGGCAGGAAAUUUCACACGCCAUCAAAUUCUUAUACCGCUCAGCCUGUGAAGAUGUGGUAUGGAGCAUGGUACCUCAAGCCAAAGUUGUGGAAAAAGCGAAGAAGUAAUGAACCUUUGACCCCAAGCUCUUACUUAAAAAGCCUGAUGAACCUGACGUUCUUGACGAUCUUUAUGGACCAAUUGCCUUUAAGGAUUUCAUUCUAAGCAAGGGCUAUGAAAUGCCUGGAAUCCUCAAAAGGCUGUUUGCCAGGAAGGGAUGGACUUAUGACUCUGUUAAGACUCCUAUUCAACGUGCAAUGAUAUUUUACAAGUACAAAGAAAUCGUAGAGUCAUCGGAAGAAGAUUAGGCGCUUUUCAAUUUACUACUCAAUUGGGUAUUUCUUGCUCUCAUUUUAAUCAUCAAUCAUAAUUUAUGAUGACUGGCCCCCUGGAUGUACAACUUUGGCAACAUCUGUAAAUUCAAUACCUAAUGUUUAUCAAUAUUUCUUAAUGACCUGCUUUGGCUUCAUCAUUUCAUAUAUUUUAUCAAUUAUGCGAUUAAUAUUCACAUAUACCUUCUCACAUUGUUGAAGCAUUGUGAAUAUUACAUCAUCAUGUCAAUUAUUUGUAAAAAUACAUAAAACCAGAAAUUAUUAUUAUUAGAAUUAUUCUUUAAAAGAGAAAUAGGGUCGGGCA